rnacentral:rRNA from 1 species
UACGUAGGGGGCGAGCGUUGUCCGGAGUUACUGGGCGUAAAGCGCUUGUAGGCGGUCCACCAAGUUUGGGGUGACAGUUGCCGACUUAAUCGGCAAAGUGCCUCAAAGACUGGCGGACUUGAGGGCCACAGAGGGACAUGGAACUCCAGGUGUAGUGGUGAAAUGCGUAGAUAUCUGGAAGAACACCAAAGGCGAAGGCAGUGUCCUGGGUGGUCGCUGACGCUGAGGCGCGAAGGCGUGGGGAGCGAUCCGG